CACACACCUCACACCACUCCAGUGUCUGGUCUCGUUUGUACGAAGUGGACUCUUCAUGCUACACUAGGCAAAAUAUUGAUAUCCUUAUCUUCCUCAUGUACUUACCUCCUGUGAGCCGCUCCAACGUCCGUCUCUUCCUUUGUCUCCAAGUGACCAGCUCCGUCAUAUACUCCAGUGUGUGCUGUCAUCCAUCCAGCCGCCAGUUAUUCCACGGACUCCUAAGACCUGACCACAAAACAAGGAUGAAGUUAGCUUCCAUUAAUGUGGGCCCCAGGAAGGAGGAUGGACUUUCUGGAGGAGGUACUGUUUUUAUCUUCCAGGAUGGCAGGUGUCUAGAGGACUAUGUGGAGGAGUUUAUAGACACCUGUCACCAAGCCAUCUGCAGCGACCUCACAUUAAUGGAGGGAUUCAGGGUUGGCUUGGAUGAGGAAAUGCAGAUCGUGAUGCCACUAGGAGAUCCCAGCUGGUCAUUGGCGCAAUACCUUACUUUUGCAUUAUGGAUUGCAGGAUCAUCGUACCAAGUAGGUGAAAUGGAGGCCACGCCAGCUCCAGAAUCCAGCCCAAACACAACGGCCGCUCCGCAGUCUAACCAGCCAUCCAUCCCGUCAGCCGAUUCCCAAAUUUCCAGAAGUUCUACCAUAAUCUUCAGCCCAGAAACGCUGUCUUCGGCGAAGUCAAGCCUGCCAGCUCACUGGCAUUACCCCCAGAGUUCUCUGCACCUAUCCUCACCCCAGAGUCUCCCUCGUCUCCACUGGUCCCGUCCAGCUCCCCAACGUCUCCUGAGCCUCCUUCGUCUCCUGAGUCUUCUGUGGCCAUCAGCUCCGCUCCUCCAGGGCACCCUCCAGUUCCAGCUCCUCCAGAGCACCCUCAAGUGCCCGCAUCUCCAGAGUCUGCUCCUCCUGAGCGCUCGCCUGAGCCCGCUCCUCCUGAGCGCCCUCCAGACUCCUUCCAGGCUGUUAAGGUUCGUAAUUUCACCAAGAAGAUUUUGAGGGAGGGGCUAUAUACCCAUGGUCUUGGUAGCCUAUCACGGAGGUACUGUCACAGAUCGGUCAGGCUCACUCGCUUCCCAGUUGGCCUGGUUUAUUGCCAUAAACAUCCACAAUUGAUUCUAACCUUCUGUGUCUGCUGUAACUUUUGCCUGGAGGCUUCUUCCUCUGACAGCUCUCUAAGAGGCUUCCAACAGGUUAAAUCCUCUACAACACUGCUACCAGGGAGAUCACCAUGGUGAGCAAUACUGCGUCAGCGACAAAGUCUUUUGUGGAUGAGGUGUGAGUGUACAGUCAGCUCCAUUCAAAUAGAGGGCUGAAAAUUUAAAGUGACACAGUGUUGAUGGAACAAAUGGACUUGCAAAUGUGAAUUUCAUUUUGUUGAGCCAGGCUGUCAAGCAGUCAUGAAACAGAUCAUGUUAGGAUGUUUUAACAGAGCGACGAGUUGUAUAAAUAUUUUAGGAUGCAAGCAUAGCCUCUCUUUUCAGGGAAAAUUAUUUCUGAAAUGAAAAAUCACAAGCUCAUUAAGACGAUUUGCAUUUAUUGUGACUAACUGGUCUGUGUGGUGCAGUUAACUAAUGAGAAAAAGACAUUUAAAUUGGAUGAAAUUCUCAAAGUUUGCAAAGAAAACUGCAGUGUUGCUACAUGAUUUCUUACCAACACACUGAUUUGAAAGAGGAAAUGACCCAUUUCUUCAGAAAAUUAGACUUUUGUUGCUGUUACAGUUUAAUUGGCUUGUUUUACAGCUCUUUAGAGCUGACUUGACUUUCUUAGAUGAGUAUUUAUUUGGAGUAAUCUUCAUAUUAUAAUAAGGGAAUAGUUUAACCAAAAAUGAAAAUUAUGUACUUACCAUCAUGGUGUUUCAAACUAGUAUGCUGCAUGUUAUUCUGUCUGAAAAACACUAUUUAGAUAUUUUCCAUACAGCCAAAAUUCAUAGUGACAAGACAAGCCCUACAAAGGCACCUUAAAAGUAGUCCAUAUGACUUGUUUAUUAUGUACUGUAACAAGUCUCCCGAAGUUAUAUGAAAUACUAACAGAUCACUUUGGGAAUAAAAACUAGAAACUACUUUAAAUUUGCAAAAACGUGUUUUUGUAACACCAUCAAAACAUUGCAAAGGCAUAUUGAGCUCCAGGUGGACAUAACCUGCCAGAAAUUUCCACUGUUGCUGCAAGCUUCAUGAAAUGUGCAUGUGAGUGUGUGCUUGUGUGUAUUUUGUCCACAGACCACAAACUACUCUUGCUGAAUGUGAUGUUUGCAAGCUCUUGUUUACAUUGUAUGUUUUUUAAUAUGUAAAACUGCUGUUGUCAUAACAUCUGCUAACGUGUUAUUAUUUAUAUAAUCUUAUAGUAUUUAUUAAUAUUUUGAAUUAGCAUUAACCUUGAUUGUUUUAAUAUUUUGAAUUUUAUUUAUUAUUAUUAUGCCUAUUGAAAAAAAAACACUUUACACUCUAGUGUUUAGUUAAUUUCGUCUAACAACGCUGAACAGUGUAUUUACAUCAUUUUUGCCAUUUUGCUGAACCACAUUCCAUGCAGCAUAUCUUAUUUAUCCUUUUGGUGAAGUGAAAUUUUAAGCAAAAUAGAAUAAAUGGUCUGGCCUUUAUCGCUAUGGCUAAUUUCAUAGCUAGUAUUUUUCUUUUCUUUUUUUUUUUUGUAUGCCAAAUAUACACAUUACACAUAAAAUACACACUUUAAAUAAUAUUUACAAUGUUUUUUCCAUAAUUUGACACUUUACAAUUACUCUGUUUACAAUGGAUAUUAACCUUAUUUUUUCUGCAUGUCUCAUAUAUCUCAAGCUUUUCACUGACACUGUGGUCACAUAACCAAGUAGACUAUUUAAUAAUAAUAAUAAACAUUAGUGGCAAAACUGUUGGGAAAAAAAAAAUAUGAUAAAAAUUAAAACAGCUUUGAUAAU